CCUACGGGAGGCAGCAGUGAGGAAUAUUGGUCAAUGGACGAGAGUCUGAACCAGCCAAGUAGCGUGAAGGAUGACUGCCCUAUGGGUUGUAAACUUCUUUUAUAUGGGAGUAAAAUGUUCCACGUGUGGGAUUUUGUAUGUACCAUAUGAAUAAGGAUCGGCUAACUCCGUGCCAGCAGCCGCGGUAAUACGGAGGAUCCGAGCGUUAUCCGGAUUUAUUGGGUUUAAAGGGAGCGUAGGUGGAUUGUUAAGUCAGUUGUGAAAGUUUGCGGCUCAACCGUAAAAUCGCAGUUGAAACUGGCAGUCUUGAGUGAAGUAGAGGUAGGCGGAAUUCGUGGUGUAGCGGUGAAAUGCGUAGAUAUCACGAAGAACUCCGAUUGCGAAGGCAGUUCACUGGACUGCAACUGACGCUGAGGCACGAAAGUGUGGGUAUCAAACAGGAUUAGAUACCCGAGUAGUC
rnacentral:rRNA from 1 species